UUUCCCAUCAUCAUGCCCAUUUGUGGCCCCAGUAGGUCCUCCAUUGGCCUGAGACUGGAGCUUUUACUUCAGUACCUUGUCAUUACCCUCCAGCUACCUAAGGCCUAUUGCCUCUUGUGAAUCUUUCUUCUCAUGCUUCUCCCUCUUUUUCCCCUACCCAACACAAGGAUGCUCAGCUCAACCUAUUGGAAAAGUGAGUCCAAAUCCAGCAGACUACAUGCUGCCCAGUGUAUAUUAAGUAUGACAGAGCGUUAAUGCAACCAGGUUUGGAUUGAAAAUGAAAUGCUCAAUCCAGAUGUGCUCUUUGGCCAUUCUGCGAGCAGAGCCAAAGGCUGUAGGACUCCCACCAGGGGCUGAAAUGCAGCCAGGAAAGCCAAGCGUGGGAGGCAAGAGAAGAGGAUCUGGGACAGAAGACUGAGGAAUACCAACAUUUAAGGGAUGGGCAGAGUUACCUCAAAUUUCCCUCUUCACAUUCCCUCUCAUAUUCAGCCAGUGUCCUUUUAUUUAUUUACUUUUUACUGAGGAAGAUUAGCCCUGAGAUAACAUCUCCCACCAACCCUCCUCUUUUUGCUGAGGAAGACUGGCCCUGAGCUAACAUGCAUGCCCAUCAUCCUCUACUUUAUAUGUGGGACGCCUACCACAGCAUGGCUUGCCAAGCUGAGCCGUGUCUGCACCUGGGAUCCGAACCAGCGAACCCUGGGCCGGCGAAGUGGAACGUGUGAACUUAAAUGCUACGCCACUGGGCCAGCCCCCUUUUAUUUUUUAUACUGUUUUAAAAACUGAGCAGAAAUAGAAUACUGUCAGGACAUCAUGGCUGUGAAUAAUAAACCUUGAAAAUCUACAAACUGUGUAGCCUCCUCUAAACCAAAUGUACAUUUUUCUUCUAAAUUAUUAUUCUUUUCUCAAAUAUUUUUUAAAAAUUGAGCUUAUUAUAAUGAUUGAGGCAAUUCAACCCCUCACCCCAACUCAAGAGACUUAGCCUAAAAUAAUCAAUGUUAAUACUCUGGUUGAUAUGGU
rnacentral:lncRNA from 1 species